AUCUAUAUAUAUAUAAAUGAGAUGUGAUUUGGGCUAGGUGGCAUUGGAUUUGGGACAUUUUUGCUGAUGUGGCAACUUAUAUUUUUGAGUUUAGGAGGGAAUUCUCAAAUGCCUUCAUCAUUCACGAUUUUAACAAAAAAGUGGCGGGAUCCGGCUGUGAUUCGGGUCACCCAAUAUUAAAAAACGGAUCCUAUAUAUCAUCUUUACCAGACCACCAUAUCUCAUAACCUCACUUUUCACAAACCCUACAUACCAUUUCCUAAAUCUGCUUCUUCGUUUUUCAAAGAUUCAUCGUCCUUAGGUAUGUUAUUAUGCCAUUCCUUCUUUGUUUUCGUAUUGUUAAUCUAAUACAUCUUUGAUUUUUUUCGAUUUCAUCAACUAUCUUACAUAUUCAGAUGAGAUUCAUAAGGACGACAAUGUUUUGAUGCUUUCUUCAUCUUCAUGGUUUGCUUGUGGUCUUUCGUAUCCGUCAAAACCCUAAUCGACCGGAGAAAUCGUCAAAAGUUCUUCACAAUAUGAUCGUUCCACAUAAUUUGCAGAUAUGCAUCCCUUGCACAACAGU